ACAAACACACACAAAGUGUGGAUUAUAACAGCAUUGACAGGGAAACUUGGAAGUCAAAGUAAAAAAUGCCAAAUUUUAAUUGCAUCUCCUGGCUUUUUGAGGGUCAAAGUAUUCAAAAUUUCCCUCUGAAGCACACUAAAUUUCGAACACUCCCUCGCCACAUCUCCGUUGAUUAGGCGUAAAAAAAACAUGUGGUUCUGGUUUCAUAUCGUGAAAAAAUUAGGGUCGGUAGGUCGGAAAUAUUUUUUUUUUAAUAUUUUUUUCAUGGUUUUGGCAGUUUUUUGCUGGGCGAUUUGCAGUAGAGUCCCAACAUCAGUAUUAACUAGAGAUGCGUAUUUCCUAUGGACGAAUUUAGGCAAUUUGGUUCAAUAAUUAGUGUGACAACAGACGCCAUUUUGGCACGCUGUAUGAGCAGCCCACAACCACCUGGAGAAAAUAGGGUCGCACAGUCAAUCGUGUUGAAAAAAUAAUAGGGUCG